rnacentral:rRNA from 1 species
GGGUUGUGAGGUUAAGCGACUAAGCGUACACGGUGGAUGCCCUGGCAGUCAGAGGCGAUGAAGGACGUGCUAAUCUGCGAAAAGCGUCGGUAAGGUGAUAUGAACCGUUACAGCCGGCGAUGUCCGAAUGGGGAAACCCAGUGUGAUUCGUCACACUAUCGUUAACUGAAUACAUAGGUUAACGAGGCGAACCGGGGGAACUGAAACAUCUAAGUACCCCGAGGAAAAGAAAUCAACCGAGAUUCCCCCAGUAGCGGCGAGCGAACGGGGAGCAGCCCAGAGUCUGAAUCAGCUUGUGUGUUAGUGGAACGGUCUGGAAAGUCCGACGGUACAGGGUGAUAGUCCCGUACACCAAAAUGCACAGGCUGUGAACUCGAAGAGUAGGGCGGGACACGUGGUAUCCUGUCUGAAUAUGGGGACCAUCCUCCAAGGCUAAAUACUCCUGACUGACCGAUAGUGAACCAGUACCGUGAGGGAAAGGCGAAAAGAACCCCGGCGAGGGGAGUGAAAAGAACCUGAAACCGUGUACGUACAAGCAGUGGGAGCACCUUCGGGUGUGACUGCGUACCUUUGUAUAAUGGGUCAGCGACUUAUAUUCUGUAGCAAGGUUAACCGUAUAGGGAGCCGCAGGGAAACCGAGUCUUAACUGGGCGUUAAGUUGCAGGGUAUAGACCCGAAACCCGGUGAUCUAGCCAUGGGCAGGUUGAAGGUUGGGUAACACUAACUGGAGGACCGAACCGACUAAUGUUGAAAAAUUAGCGGAUGACUUGUGGCUGGGGUGAAAGGCCAAUCAAACCGGGAGAUAGCUGGUUCUCCCGAAAGCUAUUUAGGUAGCGCCUCGUGAAUUCAUCUUCGGGGUAGAGCACUGUUUCGGCUAGGGGGUCAUCCCGACUUACCAACCCGAUGCAAACUACGAAUACCGAAGAAUGUUAUCACGGGAGACACACGGCGGGUGCUAACGUCCGUCGUGAAGAGGGAAACAACCCAGACCGCCAGCUAAGGUCCCAAAGUCAUGGUUAAGUGGGAAACGAUGUGGGAAGGCACAGACAGCCAGGAUGUUGGCUUAGAAGCAGCCAUCAUUUAAAGAAAGCGUAAUAGCUCACUGGUCGAGUCGGCCUGCGCGGAAGAUGUAACGGGGCUAAACCAUGCACCGAAGCUGCGGCAGCGACACUAUGUGUUGUUGGGUAGGGGAGCGUUCUGUAAGCCUGCGAAGGUGACCUGUGAGGGUUGCUGGAGGUAUCAGAAGUGCGAAUGCUGACAUAAGUAACGAUAAAGCGGGUGAAAAGCCCGCUCGCCGGAAGACCAAGGGUUCCUGUCCAACGUUAAUCGGGGCAGGGUGAGUCGACCCCUAAGGCGAGGCCGAAAGGCGUAGUCGAUGGGAAACAGGUUAAUAUUCCUGUACUUGGUGUUACUGCGAAGGGGGGACGGAGAAGGCUAUGUUAGCCGGGCGACGGUUGUCCCGGUUUAAGCAUGUAGGCUGGUUAUCCAGGCAAAUCCGGAUAAUCAAGGCUGAGGUGUGAUGACGAGGCACUACGGUGCUGAAGUAACAAAUGCCCUGCUUCCAGGAAAAGCCUCUAAGCAUCAGGUAACAUUAAAUCGUACCCCAAACCGACACAGGUGGUCAGGUAGAGAAUACCAAGGCGCUUGAGAGAACUCGGGUGAAGGAACUAGGCAAAAUGGUGCCGUAACUUCGGGAGAAGGCACGCUGGUGUGUAGGUGAAGUCCCUGCGGAUGGAGCUGAGACCAGUCGAAGAUACCAGCUGGCUGCAACUGUUUAUUAAAAACACAGCACUGUGCAAACACGAAAGUGGACGUAUACGGUGUGACGCCUGCCCGGUGCCGGAAGGUUAAUUGAUGGGGUUAUCCGUAAGGAGAAGCUCUUGAUCGAAGCCCGGUAAACGGCGGCCGUAACUAUAACGGUCCUAAGGUAGCGAAAUUCCUUGUCGGGUAAGUUCCGACCUGCACGAAUGGCGUAAUGAUGGCCAGGCUGUCUCCACCCGAGACUCAGUGAAAUUGAACUCGCUGUGAAGAUGCAGUGUACCCGCGGCAAGACGGAAAGACCCCGUGAACCUUUACUAUAGCUUGACACUGAACAUUGAGCCUUGAUGUGUAGGAUAGGUGGGAGGCUUUGAAGCGUGGACGCCAGUCUGCGUGGAGCCGACCUUGAAAUACCACCCUUUAAUGUUUGAUGUUCUAACGUUGGCCCCUUACCGGGGUUGCGGACAGUGUCUGGUGGGUAGUUUGACUGGGGCGGUCUCCUCCCAAAGCGUAACGGAGGAGCACGAAGGUUAGCUAAUCCUGGUCGGACAUCAGGAGGUUAGUGCAAUGGCAUAAGCUAGCUUGACUGCGAGCGUGACGGCGCGAGCAGGUGCGAAAGCAGGUCAUAGUGAUCCGGUGGUUCUGAAUGGAAGGGCCAUCGCUCAACGGAUAAAAGGUACUCCGGGGAUAACAGGCUGAUACCGCCCAAGAGUUCAUAUCGACGGCGGUGUUUGGCACCUCGAUGUCGGCUCAUCACAUCCGGGGCUGAAGUAGGUCCCAAGGGUAUGGCUGUUCGCCAUUUAAAGUGGUACGCGAGCUGGGUUUAGAACGUCGUGAGACAGUUCGGUCCCUAUCUGCCGUGGGCGCUGGAGAAUUGAGGGGGGCUGCUCCUAGUACGAGAGGACCGGAGUGGACGCAUCACUGGUGUUCGGGUUGUCAUGCCAAUGGCACUGCCCGGUAGCUAAAUGCGGAAGAGAUAAGUGCUGAAAGCAUCUAAGCACGAAACUUGCCCCGAGAUGAGUUCUCCCUGAGACUUUAAGUCUCCUGAAGGAACGUUGAAGACGACGACGUUGAUAGGCCGGGUGUGUAAGCGCAGCGAUGCGUUGAGCUAACCGGUACUAAUGAACCGUGAGGCUUAACCUUACAACGCCGAAG